rnacentral:rRNA from 1 species
AUGAACGCUGGCGGCGUGCCUAAUACAUGCAAGUCGAGCGAACAGACGAGGAGCUUGCUCCUCUGACGUUAGCGGCGGACGGGUGAGUAACACGUGGAUAACCUACCUAUAAGACUGGGAUAACUUCGGGAAACCGGAGCUAAUACCGGAUAACAUGUUGAACCGCAUGGUUCAACAGUGAAAGACGGUCUUGCUGUCGCUUAUAGAUGGAUCCGCGCCGCAUUAGCUAGUUGGUAAGGUAACGGCUUACCAAGGCAACGAUGCGUAGCCGACCUGAGAGGGUGAUCGGCCACACUGGAACUGAGACACGGUCCAGACUCCUACGGGAGGCAGCAGUAGGGAAUCUUCCGCAAUGGGCGAAAGCCUGACGGAGCAACGCCGCGUGAGUGAAGAAGGUCUUCGGAUCGUAAAACUCUGUUAUUAGGGAAGAACAAAUGUGUAAGUAACUAUGCACGUCUUGACGGUACCUAAUCAGAAAGCCACGGCUAACUACGUG